GCUUGUCUCAAAGAUUAAGCCAUGCAUGUCUAAGUAUAACUCUUUUACUUUGAAAACUGCGAACGGCUCAUUAUAUCAGUUAUAGUUUCUUUGAUAGUCCCUUACUACUUGGAUACCCGUAGUAAUUCUAGAGCUAAUACAUGCAUCAAACCCCGACUCACGAAGGGGUGUAUUUAUUAGAUGGAAACCAAUGCGGGGCAACCCGGAUUAUGGUGAUUCAUAAUAACUUUCAGAUCGAUCGCAAGAUCGAUGCAUCAUUCAAGUUUCUGCCCUAUCAGCUUUGGAUGGUAGGGUAUUGGCCUACCAUGGCUUUAACGGGUAACGGAGAAUUAGGGUUCGAUUCCGGAGAGGGAGCCUGAGAAACGGCUACCACAUCCAAGGAAGGCAGCAGG
rnacentral:rRNA from 1 species